GACGAACGCUGGCGGCGUGCUUAACACAUGCAAGUCGAACGGAAAGGCCCCUUUGGGGGUACUCGAGUGGCGAACGGGUGAGUAACACGUGAGUAACCUGCCCUUGACUUCGGGAUAACUUCAGGAAACUGGGGCUAAUACCGGAUAGGAAUCCUUGCUGCAUGGUGGGGGUUGGAAAGCUUCGGCGGUUUUGGAUGGACUCGCGGCUUAUCAGCUUGUUGGUGGGGUAGUGGCUUACCAAGGCUUUGACGGGUAGCCGGCCUGAGAGGGCGACCGGCCACAUUGGGACUGAGAUACGGCCCAGACUCCUACGGGAGGCAGCAGUGGGGAAUAUUGCACAAUGGGCGGAAGCCUGAUGCAGCAACGCCGCGUGCGGGAUGACGGCCUUCGGGUUGUAAACCGCUCUCAGCAGGGGCGAAGCUUUUGUGACGGUACCUGCAGAAGAAGCACCGGCUAACUACGUG
rnacentral:rRNA from 1 species